AAAGCAAAUUGCAAUCACAGUGCUUCAGUUUGUGGAAGUCCUGCCAUUUUCCUGCUGAAAGAAAAGUCAUACCCAGUGCUAGUGUCUCACACUU
rnacentral:snoRNA from 1 species